GUAUUACCGCGGCUGCUGGCACGUAGUUAGCCGUGGCUUUCUGAUUAGGUACCGUCAAGAUGUGCACAGUUACUUACACAUAUGUUCUUCCCUAAUAACAGAGUUUUACGAUCCGAAGACCUUCAUCACUCACGCGGCGUUGCUCCGUCAGGCUUUCGCCCAUUGCGGAAGAUUCCCUACUGCUGCCUCCCGUAGGAGUCUGGACCGUGUCUCAGUUCCAGUGUGGCCGAUCACCCUCUCAGGUCGGCUAUGCAUCGUUGCCUUGGUAAGCCGUUACCUUACCAACUAGCUAAUGCAGCGCGGAUCCAUCUAUAAGUGACAGCAAGACCGUCUUUCACUUUUGAACCAUGCGGUUCAAAAUAUUAUCCGGUAUUAGCUCCGGUUUCCCGAAGUUAUCCCAGUCUUAUAGGUAGGUUAUCCACGUGUUACUCACCCGUCCGCCGCUAACAUCAGAGAAGCAAGCUUCUCGUCCGUUCGCUCGACUUGCAUGUAUUAGGCACGCCGCCAGCGUUCAUCCUGAGCCAGGAUCAAACUCUA
rnacentral:rRNA from 1 species